rnacentral:rRNA from 1 species
GAUGAACGCUGGCGGCGUGCUUAACACAUGCAAGUCGAACGGAAAGGCCCAAGCUUGCUUGGGUACUCGAGUGGCGAACGGGUGAGUAACACGUGGGUGAUCUGCCCUGCACUUCGGGAUAAGCCUGGGAAACUGGGUCUAAUACCGGAUAGGACGAUGGUUUGGAUGCCAUUGUGGAAAGUUUUUUCGGUGUGGGAUGAGCACGCGGCCUAUCAGCUUGUUGGUGGGGUAAUGGCCUACCAAGGCGUCGACGGGUAGCCGGCCUGAGAGGGUGUACGGCCACAUUGGGACUGAGAUACGGCCCAGACUCCUACGGGAGGCAGCAGUGGGGAAUAUUGCACAAUGGGCGCAAGCCUGAUGCAGCGACGCCGCGUGGGGGAUGACGGCCUUCGGGUUGUAAACUCCUUUCGCUAGGGACGAAGCGUUUUUGUGACGGUACCUGGAGAAGAAGCACCGGCUAACUACGUG